ensembl:misc_RNA Metazoa_SRP Metazoan signal recognition particle RNA
GCCGGGCGUGGUGGCGUGCGCCUGUAGUCCCAGCUACUCAGGAGGCUGAGGCAGGAGAAUGGCUUGAACCCAGGAGGCAUAGGUUGCAGUGAGCCGAGAUCGUGCCACUGCACUCCAACCUGGGUGACAGAGCGAGACUGUCUCAA